AGAUUGAACGCUGGCGGCAGGCCUAACACAUGCAAGUCGAGCGGCAGCACGGGUACUUGUACCUGGUGGCGAGCGGCGGACGGGUGAGUAAUGCCUAGGAAUCUGCCUGGUAGUGGGGGAUAACGCUCGGAAACGGACGCUAAUACCGCAUACGUCCUACGGGAGAAAGCAGGGGACCUUCGGGCCUUGCGCUAUCAGAUGAGCCUAGGUCGGAUUAGCUAGUUGGUGAGGUAAUGGCUCACCAAGGCGACGAUCCGUAACUGGUCUGAGAGGAUGAUCAGUCACACUGGAACUGAGACACGGUCCAGACUCCUACGGGAGCAGCAGUGGGG
rnacentral:rRNA from 1 species